rnacentral:rRNA from 1 species
GAUGAACGCUGGCGGCGUGCCUAAUACAUGCAAGUCGAGCGAACGGACGAGAAGCUUGCUUCUCUGAUGUUAGCGGCGGACGGGUGAGUAACACGUGGAUAACCUACCUAUAAGACUGGGAUAACUUCGGGAAACCGGAGCUAAUACCGGAUAAUAUUUUGAACCGCAUGGUUCAAAAGUGAAAGACGGUCUUGCUGUCACUUAUAGAUGGAUCCGCGCUGCAUUAGCUAGUUGGUAAGGUAACGGCUUACCAAGGCAACGAUGCAUAGCCGACCUGAGAGGGUGAUCGGCCACACUGGAACUGAGACACGGUCCAGACUCCUACGGGAGGCAGCAGUAGGGAAUCUUCCGCAAUGGGCGAAAGCCUGACGGAGCAACGCCGCGUGAGUGAAGAAGGUCUUCGGAUCGUAAAACUCUGUUAUUAGGGAAGAACAGAUGUGUAAGUAACCGUGCACGUCUUGACGGUACCUAAUCAGAAAGCCACGGCUAACUACGUG